AAAUGAAUUGACGGGGGCCCGCACAAGCGGUGGAGCAUGUGCUUUAAUUCGAUGCAACGCGAAGAACCUUACCUAGACUUGACAUGGGGGUGAAAUCCUGUAGAAAUAUGGGACCUUCCGCAAGGAACACCCCACACAGGUGCUGCAUGGUUGUCGUCAGCUCGUGUCGUGAGAUGUUAGGUUAAGUCCUGCAACGAGCGCAACCCUCGCCCUUAGUUGCUAACAGGUUAUGCUGAGAACUCUAAGGGGACCGCCUAGUUUAACUAGGAGGAAGGUGGGGAUGACGUCAAAUCCUCAUGGCCCUUACGUCUAGGGCUAGACACGUGCUACAAUGGCCGGUACAACGGGAUGCGAGAUGGUGACAUUAAGCUAAUCCCAAAAAACCGGUCUCAGUUCGGAUUGGAGUCUGCAAUUCGACUCCAUGAAGCUGGAAUCGCUAGUAAUCGCGGAUCAGCAUGCCGCGGUGAAUACGUUCCCGGGCCUUGUACACACCGCCCGU
rnacentral:rRNA from 1 species